GGAGACUGGUAGGGGAGGUGCCAUAUUCCACACCAUCUCCACCAGACCGUCCAUCCACCGCCGCCACGACGGUUCCCCAUCGCCGAAGGCCAGCAAAACAGGUCACUAUAUCCCUGCGGUCGUGAACUAGCUCCGGUGGCUUUGUACGAGGAGAAGAGGUCGUCCCGCCGGCGUGAUCCAAUUCAACGGAAGCGACGCCGCCGCCUCGUCCAAGCGCGACCUCAGCUCCACGCCGGCGCUUGGUCGCUUCCCCGCGCUCUGCAAGCUCGGGGACUGUUUCUCUCCUGUCCCAUCCUCACCUCCCCGAUUGGAAGGAUCUAGAGAUUUCACCAGCCGCCCUUGAGUCAUUACAAUCUACGUAGGUAUCAUCGACCUCCUCUUCAAGUUUGGUCUCUCCUCCUACUUCAUGAGCUCAUGUAAUGAUGUAAAUGGGGAUUCCUACCUAUUUUUUGAUAGACUGGAGGAUGUUUGUGUCAUCAAGAGUGCAUCCGAAUUUGUUUGCAUGAGUUUGACAUCAAAACGGGGAUGAAUACGAUUUUCUGUUUAGCACAACCACAACCACGUGCAUCUGCUCGACCUGUUGAUGCUUGCCACAAAUUCAAAAGCCUGACUGAAGCUGCCAAAGCAAGAAGAAGAUAGAAGAAUUCUGAAUUUUUAUGCCAUGAACGGAACAUCUCAUUCAGCUGGACUCUAGUUAUUCAGUUCACAAAAGAUAGAUCUGAAUGCAAGCGAAAUUUGUAACAUGAAGGCAAAGAUUUCACCGCCAAUUCAUUUUCAUGAUGUAUAGCGAAUACUUGAUUGAGGUGUAAUGCAUUUACCUUCUGAA